GUCCCAGUUCAACCUCGGUUGGGUUUGUCAUAUGGUGGAAGAGGACGGGUGGCCGGAGGGGUUGGCUGUUAUCUUUGGUUAUCUAGCUGUAUGAGUGUUAUUCAUUCUUCAUAAAGCUAGAUAACCGAAAGUAACAAGAAUCCCAUUACACACCUGAAAGGCAUCACCCCAACUUGAGAUCUGUACUCCUCCCCUCUCCUCUUCUCUUACCCUUCCUAAGUCUCCCUCUCUCUCCUCUUCAAUCUCUGCAUCUUAUUGCAAGAUCAAGCCACAAAAUGGCCUCCCUCAAUGCUGAUAGAGAAGACCAAAACAUCCUUGAUGCCAGGGAAAGGAAAGAGUGAAGAAGCAGGGCAGGUUGGUUGUGUGGCUGUCGUCCUGCUGGAGUUGCUGCUCCCCUCCCCUUCGCUGCUCGCUUGCCCCCUUCCUCCCAUCACGAGAUGCAUUUUGCACAAAGCCACCAUCUUAGAGCAUGCGGGCAUUAAAUGGAAGUGGAAAAUAAGCAGGUAUGACCCACUAUCACUCUCCUGUGUCUCACACCCUCCUUUCCUCUUUUACACAUACUGUCCCCUCUCGCUCCCCCUGUUCGAAGGCACUGUUCAUUACAGCAGAUGUGUUUGUUAAUUGUGAAUAUCACAUGUCCUGGUUGUGAAAGGCGCUGAAGGGGGCGGGGAGAUGUUUUGUAGUCGUUUGCAUUAAAUCAUUCCCCGGUACAAUGGCUGAGGCAGAGCUGCAUCUGCGGGCAUCAACAGUGAAUAGAUCGCCAUCAGGGAUUCUGCUGCCCUGUCGUUGUCCCAUGCCAGCCAUGGAGAUGGCGUGCUGCCAUUAUUAAGAAGAACAGCAAGACUUCCCUCCUGCUUUCAGCUGUAGGGUCGUCAUGAUAUUAGCUUUCCCAUGAGAGAGAAGUUUAAAUGAGCAAAAUGUAUCGCCAUUUUUAGUCUGACAUAACUAUAGAAACCAUAAGCUAAUAUCCUGGAUUAUUUAUCAUCUUUUGGGAAAAACGAACUAAUGGGAAAACAUGCUAAGAGAGACCAAGAGUAGGAGCAGAGAGCAUGGUCUCAAUGAGGACGGGCUCCUUUUGUACGUCUUGGUUUCUAAGAGUCGUGGGCCAGACAAGUCCAUUAUUGUUCUCCAUGGCGAGCUUGCUGUGGCAGACUGUUAUUAAGGCCAGGAAGUUAUAAGUUUAAAAACCGCUUAACCAAAACACCCAUUAGAGCCGGCUGUGCCUGAUGAAGUGAGGUAGCAAAGUAAACAAUACAGGCCAUUGUCCUUCAUUCUCUCAGAGGGCUGCCUUUGUUUAAGUCCCAUCACUGAAAGUCCAGACAAUACCCUGAGCAAGGAGAUACAGUGGAGGACUAGCGUAUGUUCAGAGCUCAGUAUCUCUGUUCAAGAGAAGGUGGUGCAUGUUAGCUGUAUACACUUACAAAAAUGCCACCACAGUACCAUGUGGUAAGGAGAUGGUGUUACAUGGCAAUACUAUGGUACCAUGGUAUUUACUUGGUAUCUUCAUGAUAUGACACCAUGAAAGUACCAAGAUACAUAUCCAAAAACACAUUAUAAUACUUUUUUGUAAGUGUAGCAUUGUAUCCUGAUCAACUUUUACCAACAUAAAGAAGUCUGCUUUAAAAACACGUGAUCCUUCAGAAAACAUUCUGCUGAUUUGGUGCUCAAGAAACAUUUCUUAUUACUAUUAUUGUUGAAAACAGUUGUGCAACUUCAUAUUUUUGUGGUAACUGUGAUACAUAUUUUUCAGGAUUCUUUGAUGAGAAGAAAUUUCAAAAGAACAGCAGUGAAAUAGAAUUAUUUUGUAAUAUUAUAAAUAUCUUUACUGUCACUUCUGAUCAAUUUAAUGAAUUCUUGCUGAAUAAAAGUAUUAAUUUCUCAAAAAAAAUAAAAAAA
ensembl:lncRNA